AUAGGCUGCACAAAGUAUACAUUGGAAUUAUAUGGUGGGAGUUCGACUUCCAUGGUGAUCCCUCCUGGGAACCCUAGCACCUCCACACAAAAUGGAUCUCCGAAAACUGAUGGUGUUAGAGAUAAAUUCAUCUGCUGAAGUGAAGAAUGCCAAAUUCUACACAAGUGACAUCCUUGAAUGAGAGUGUCUGCAUAGUAACGGAAACCUGCAUAAUUUUCAGGUACGGAGUAGUAUUCAGUAUGGCUUGAGUUCUUGAAGUGGUGGUGAUAGUGGUAGUUAACAUACCUUACUAUUCGGAACUCCUAUUUGACGAUAUAUCUCUUCUUCUAGCAUUGUGGCAUGUGAAGCCAGUUGUGCAGGUGGCUUCAACAAGAUGAAACUGGCCUGAAUUUCACCUGGAGAAGUGGAUGUUUUGUCAUCAAAGGAUGGCAGUUCCAGUAGCUGAUUGUUGAUUGUGGUUGAUUACUGAAUAAAAUUUGCAUAUUCUACUAUCUAGAUACAUGAUAUAUUUCUAUCAAUGGAACUUGUCAACAAUACCAUUCUGGAACCUUUGAAGGAUCAUCAGGGAUGUUCCCUGAUGCCCGGAGAUGAAGGAGCAGAAAGACGGCCGAGAGGAAGACACCGAUGGCCAUGAACAGCGAGAUGAUGCACUUGACGCUGAGAGCUUUGCCAAUUGCGGGGGAGCAUCGACGGAGAGCG